GACGAACGCUGGCGGCGUGCUUAACACAUGCAAGUCGAACGGAAAGGCCUGCUUUCCCUUGUGGAUUGCGGGUACUCGAGUGGCGAACGGGUGAGUAACACGUGAGUGAUCUGCCCCCAACUUGGGUAUAAGCCUGGGAAACUGGGUCUAAUUCCCGAUAGGACUGCAGGGUGGUGCCUGUGGUGGAAAACGAUUUUCUAGUGGUUGGGGAUGAGCUCGCGGCCUAUCAGCUUGUUGGUGGGGGAAUGGCCUACCAAGGCGGCGACGGGUAGCCGGCCUGGGAGGGUGGACGGCCACAUUGGGACUGAGAUACGGCCCAGACUCCUACGGGAGGCAGCAGUGGGGAAUAUUGCACAAUGGGCGGAAGCCUGAUGCAGCGACGCCGCGUGGGGGAUGACGGCCUUCGGGUUGUAAACUCCUUUCGACCGCGAGGAAGCCACCUGGUUGGAAGGGUGGUGACGGUAGUGGGAGAAGAAGCACCGGCUAACUACGUG
rnacentral:rRNA from 1 species